AUUGAACGCUGGCGGCAGGCCUAACACAUGCAAGUCGAGCGGAUGAAGGGAGCUUGCUCCUGGAUUCAGCGGCGGACGGGUGAGUAAUGCCUAGGAAUCUGCCUGGUAGUGGGGGAUAACGUCCGGAAACGGGCGCUAAUACCGCAUACGUCCUGAGGGAGAAAGUGGGGGAUCUUCGGACCUCGCGCUAUCAGAUGAGCCUAGGUCGGAUUAGCUAGUUGGUGGGGUAAAGGCGUACCAAGGCGACGAUCCGUAACUGGUCUGAGAGGAUGAUCAGUCACACUGGAACUGAGACACGGUCCAGACUCCUACGGGAGGCAGCAGUGGGGAAUAUUGGACAAUGGGCGAAAGCCUGAUCCAGCCAUGCCGCGUGUGUGAAGAAGGUCUUCGGAUUGUAAAGCACUUUAAGUUGGGAGGAAGGGCAGUAAGUUAAUACCUUGCUGUUUUGACGGUACCAACAGAAUAAGCACCGGCUAACUUCGUG
rnacentral:rRNA from 1 species